AUUGAACGCUGGCGGCAGGCUUAACACAUGCAAGUCGAGCGGGGUGAUGGUGCUUGCACUAUCACUUAGCGGCGGACGGGUGAGUAAUGCUUAGGAAUCUGCCUAUUAGUGGGGGACAACAUCUCGAAAGGGAUGCUAAUACCGCAUACGUCCUACGGGAGAAAGCAGGGGAUCACUUGUGACCUUGCGCUAAUAGAUGAGCCUAAGUCGGAUUAGCUAGUUGGUGGGGUAAAGGCCUACCAAGGCGACGAUCUGUAGCGGGUCUGAGAGGAGGAGCCGCCACACUGGGACUGAGACACGGCCCAGACACCUACGGGAGGCAGCAGUGGGGAAUAUUGGACAAUGGGGGGAACCCUGAUCCAGCCAUGCCGCGUGUGUGAAGAAGGCCUUAUGGUUGUAAAGCACUUUAAGCGAGGAGGAGGCUCUUUUGGUUAAUACCCAAGAUGAGUGGACGUUACUCGCAGAAUAAGCACCGGCUAACUCUGUGCCAGCAGCCGCAGUAA
rnacentral:rRNA from 1 species